rnacentral:lncRNA from 1 species
CGGGUGGCGGGUGACAGGUCGCGGGCAGGCACGUGCCGGGCCCUUGCGGUCGGUCGGCGGAGGGGAUCAAGGCAGGGCUCGGUGUCCGCGGUCGGAGUGGGGUCUGGCGUCCCGUUGACCGUCGCCGUCGUCCUCGUUAGUAUAGUGGGUCUCAAGCGCCCGAGCCCGUCGUGUCCGGUCUUGGCCUCUGGCUGCACGCCUGUGCGCCCCGGUGGGAGAAGGAGGAGGUGGCGGUGUUUGGAAGGUGGACUGCGAUCGGGACCAGAGCUGCUGGGGCAGGCUCUCUUCCAGGUUUGAGACCCUCUAGCUGGACAAGAUUCCCGGGCUCGCGUUCAGUUCUCAACACGAGACCACUGGCUAUGGCGCCGGGCAGGCGGAGCUGUGACUAUCA